rnacentral:rRNA from 1 species
AGUGAACGCUGGCGGUAGGCCUAAUACAUGCCAGUCGAACGACAGCACGGUGAGCUCGUGCUCUUACGGGUGGCGACUGGCGGACGGGUGAGAAGUACAUCGGAAUCUACUUUUUCGUGGAUGAUAACGUAGGGCAACUUACACUAAUACCGCAUAUGACCUACGGCUGAAAGCAGUGGAUCUUCGGACCUUGCCCGACUGUAUUAGCCGGUGCCGCAUUAGCUAGUUGGCGAGGUAAAGGCCCACCAAGGCAACGAUCCGUAGCUGGUCUGAGAGGAUGAUCAGCCACACUGGAACUGAGACACGGUCCAGACUCCUACGGGAGGCAGCAGUGGGGAAUAUUGCACAAUGGGCGAAAGCCUGACCCAGCCAUACCGCGUGAGUGAAGAAGGUCUUCGGGUUGUAAAGCCCUUUUAUUGGGAAAGAACAGCAGCAGGUUAAUACCCCGCUGUUCUGACGGUACCCAAAGAAUAAGCACCGGCUAACUUCGUG